AUUGAACGCUGGCGGCAUGCUUUACACAUGCAAGUCGAACGGCAGCGCGGGCUUCGGCCUGGCGGCGAGUGGCGAACGGGUGAGUAAUACAUCGGAACGUGCCCAGUAGUGGGGGAUAGCUCGGCGAAAGCCGGAUUAAUACCGCAUACGACCUGAGGGUGAAAGCGGGGGAUCUUCGGACCUCGCGCUAUUGGAGCGGCCGAUGGCAGAUUAGCUAGUUGGUGGGGUAAAGGCCUACCAAGGCGACGAUCUGUAGCUGGUCUGAGAGGACGACCAGCCACACUGGGACUGAGACACGGCCCAGACUCCUACGGGAGGCAGCAGUGGGGAAUUUUGGACAAUGGGCGAAAGCCUGAUCCAGCAAUGCCGCGUGUGUGAUGAAGGCCUUGGGGUUGUAAAGCACUUUUGGCGGGAACGAAAAGGACUGUGCCAAUACCACGGUUCGAUGACGGUACCCGCAGAAUAAGCACCGGCUAACUACGUG
rnacentral:rRNA from 1 species